rnacentral:rRNA from 1 species
UGGGGAAUAUUGCACAAUGGGCGCAAGCCUGAUGCAGCCAUGCCGCGUGUAUGAAGAAGGCCUUCGGGUUGUAAAGUACUUUCAGCGAGGAGGAAGGCGUUGUGGUUAAUAACCGCAGCGAUUGACGUUACUCGCAGAAGAAGCACCGGCUAACUCCGUGCCAGCAGCCGCGGUAAUACGGAGGGGGCAAGCGUUAAUCGGAAUUACUGGGCGUAAAGAGCACGCAGGCGGUCUGUCAAGUCGGAUGUGAAAUCCCCGGGCUCAACCUGGGAACUGCAUCCGAAACUGGCAGGCUAGAGUCUUGUAGAGGGGGGUAGAAUUCCAGGUGUAGCGGUGAAAUGCGUAGAGAUCUGGAGGAAUACCGGUGGCGAAGGCGGCCCCCUGGACAAAGACUGACGCUCAGGUGCGAAAGCUUGGGGAGCAAACA